AUGGGCGCCUCCGCCUCCGUCCUAUCUCUUCCCGUGGCCGCCUCCUUCCCUGGCGCGGCCACCGCUAUCGCGGGCGCCGCCGGCUGCUUCGCGCUCGGCUACUUCCUCGCCCUCGCCCGCCUCCCCAUCCACGCCGCCGCCGCCCCCGACUCCGGCGACGACGAUUCCGAGGACGACUCGGACGAAGAUGAUGACGAAAAUUCCGGCCGCGCCCGGCCGGCGAAGCGAGCCGCCGGGCGGAAGCGGACCGGGCUCAGGCUGCUGUUCUGGUCCCGGAACGUGGUGACCAAGUCCGACUCCGCCAGGGAAGCCGAGAGGGCGCAGGCCCAGACCGCCUCCGCCCCCCUGGAGAUCGAGAACCUCGCCAAGAUAAUAGAGGAUUUCAAGAUGGUGCUUGUUGUGAGAAACGACCUGAAGAUGGGAAAGGGGAAAAUCGCUGCGCAAUGCAGCCAUGCAACACUGGGCUUGUUUAAAAAACUCCAGCAGAGAGCACCAAAGUCAUUACGAAGAUGGGAGAGGUGUGGCCAAGUUAAGGUGGUUGUGAAAGUAGAAAGCGAGGAAGAUAUGCUUGUUUUACAAGGGAGAGCAAAAUCUAUGAAUCUGCCAACUCACAUUACCAUUGAUGCUGGAAGAACACAGAUUGCACCUAAUUCCAGAACAGUCAUGGCUAUACUUGGGCCGGCUGACAUGGUUGACGAUGUCACUGGUGGUCUGAAGCUCUUAUAA
rnacentral:rRNA from 1 species